GGGUUGGUAUCCGCGACGAGCGCACCCUUGUCUUAUGUUGCCAGCACGUUAUGGUGGGGACUCGUGAGAGACUGCCGGGGUCAACUCGGAGGAAGGUGGGGAUGACGUCAAAUCAUCAUGCCCCUUAUGUCCAGGGCUUCACACAUGCUACAAUGGCCGGUACAGAGGGCUGCGAUGCCGUGAGGCGGAGCGAAUCUCUUAAAGCCGGUCUCAGUUCGGAUUGGGGUCUGCAACUCGACCCCAUGAAGUCGGAGUCGCUAGUAAUCGCAGAUCAGCAACGCUGCGGUGAAUACGUUCCCGGGCCUUGUACACACCGCCCGUCACGUCAUGAAAGUCGGUAACACCCGAAGCCGGUGGCCUAACCCUUGUGGAGGGAGCCGUUGAAGGUGGGAUUGGCGAUUGGGACGAAGUCGUAACAAGGUAGCCGUACCGGAAGGUGCGGCUGGAUCACCUCCUUU
rnacentral:rRNA from 1 species